AUUUCUUGUCUUGCAGUAGCACUUGUACCAUGGGCUUAGUCCUGCCUCUCUGGAGUGAUACCCUAAUUCAUUUGGAUGGUGAUGGUGGGUUCAGUGUAUCAACGGAUAACAGAGUGCACAUAUUCAAACCUGUAUCUGUACAGGCAAUGUGGUCUGCACUACAGAGUUUACACAAGGCUUGUGAAGUGGCCAGAAUGCAUAACUACUACCCAGGCAGCCUGUUUCUCACCUGGGUGAGUUAUUACGAGAGCCACAUCAACUCAGAUCAGUCGUCAGUCAAUGAAUGGAAUGCUAUGCAGGAUGUGCAGUCCCACCGGCCUGACUCUCCAGCUCUCUUCACAGACAU